ensembl:lncRNA
AUAUAAAUUUAAGAUUGUUUUUGUUAUAACACACUAUAUAUAUGUUUCUACUCUUAUUUAAGGUAUUGUACCUAUGCAGCUCAUUUAAGAAUGUAAUGUACAGUUCUAGUCCUUGAAAGCUAUUAUUAUAAACUAUUUAGGAUAAUUAAGAAUGCAGGUUAGUAGUUAGUCAUCUAUAACAAUCAAGCUUGUAGUCAUAUUAGGUAUGUUUUCAAGGACAAAGAGAUGUAUUUUAGAUAGGCAGUCUUCAAACACUUCAGAGAUCUACAGAAUAUGGCAUUUAAGAUGUUUUAAUAACAUCAGGCUUUUCAUUCACUCCUUCCCAUCCUCCGGUACUGACAUUCUUUUUGCCUCCCCUUCUGUGGCAGUCCCCGAGCCUUGGUGUGUGGAAGUGACAUAGAUGCAUUAUUUAGGGCUGAGCACUCUGUUUCCUCCUCUCAGCGCUGUGACCAGUUAUUCUUCUGUCUAUUGACUGCUGCCCACAGCAUGAAGAAGCUCCUCAGAUCAAGGAUGAGAACACUCCAGAGGACCAUCUGCCCAGGGGUGACAGGUGCCACAGUUAGCUGAUCCUUCCCACAUCAAUCAUUAAUCAAGAAAAUGCUGCAACUGGCAUGCCCAGAGACCAAUCUGAUGGAGGCAACUUGAGGCUCCCUUUUCCCAGGUUCCCAAGUUCAAAGGGUAGGGACCAGAUGGAGGUCUCCAGUUUGGGCUCUCUCUCUUUCUGCCUGAUGUUUGGCUGUGGGUCUCUGCAUCCGCUCCUUGGGGGCUUCCAACACCAGAAAGAAAAGGAGACUGUGGAAUGUUGGCGGGUUUAUAAAAGUCUUCUGCCUGCAUGCCAGCAGAGGGCACCAGAUCUCAUUCAAGGUGUUUGUGAGCCACCAUGUGGUUGCCGGGAAUUGAACUGAGGGCCUCUGGAAAAGCAAUCAGUGCUCUUAACCGCUGAGCCAUCUCCAGUCCUGGAUUUUUUAAGAAAGGAAGAAAGAAAGAGAAAGAACAGUCAAAGAUGUAAGGGAAAAUACCAACUUGCCUACAAAGGAAUAUACAUCAAAAUAACAUCAGAUUCCUCAUCUACAAUUCUAUAGGAAAGCAUGGAACAGUGUAUGCAGGCAAAAAAUCUGCCAACUAAAGAUUGCUGUAUCCAAAAAAGCAAUCUUCAAAAACCCACAGUAAAUGAAGGAAGUUUCAAGAUAAGAUAAACUGAAGCAGUUCCUAACCACCUAGCCAUCAUGCUGCAGAAGAUACUUAAAGGAAUCCUAUUCAUGGAGGAACAAGAAAGGGCAUCGAUCAGGAAAGAAAACAUUUCAUAAGAGGAAUGCAUGAACAAAGGAGAUCCAGGAAGGAAUCUAUUGUUCCAACACAGUAAACAUCCACAACUAAGGAGAUGAACAAUGAAAGACCCAACCAACCAGAAAGCACAUGCAACAAAUUAACAGGGGUUAAUAAACAUCACUCAACAAUAACCUUAAAUAUAAAUGGCCUUGAUUCAUCAGCAAAAGAUUCAGACUGGCUAACUGCAUCUAAACACUAUGUCCAAGUAUCUGUUGUUUUCAGUAACCACACUUCACUGGCAAAUACAUCCACAGUCUGAGAUUCCAAGGAUGAGGUCAAUCUUUUAUAAUGAAGAUGAUGAUUAUGACAUUGCCUUUAAAAAUAUUUGUGCAUGUGCUAUUGUGCAUGUGUGGAGGUCUUGGGUCAACUCCUUCUAACAUGUGGGUCCCAGGUAUCUAACGCAGGUCACUGCAGAUGCUGCUCUCACUGAUCCUAGCUUACAUGGCUUCCCCACUCUAUUCCCAGCUCUAUUCUGCAGCAUGGGUAGAAUUUAAUACUGACAUUUUAUUGAGCCCUGUACUUAAAUACACGUGUACAUGUCUCCACUGUUCUUGAAGAAAGGGAUGUGCCUUGUGCAGUGCAUCUUCCCCAGAAUGGCUGUGUUUUCCCAGUGCUGAGUGGUACUUGUAAGAACUGGUUGUGUGAAUAAACAAAACAACAGAAUGAUGAUGAGUCUUGCACUUUGGCAGCUUCCUGAGGUGCAGAACCCAACUUAGGGCAGCCACAUA